GGGUCAUUAACUCAGUAGGUAGAGUAACUGCCUUUUAAGCAGUGAGUCGCAGGUUCGAUCCCCGCAUGACCCACCA
rnacentral:tRNA from 1 species